UUACGGUCAUAUCACGCUGACCAACCGGUUGCCGUACGAUCACUGAAGUUAAGCAACGUUGAGUUUGAACAGUACCUAGAUAAGUGACCGGUUGCGAAUAACAGUUGCUGCAAG